UUAAGAAGGUCCCGAAAGUACGCCUGCCACCUCUGUUUGAUUUGCGAUUCCCCCAUCAGAACUCUACCAUCCUCGUCCUUGAUACACCUGACUUGGUUAAGAUCGCGUGCCUUCCUCUCCCUUGCUUUAGCCAACCAGAAUAACUUCUUAUCCCCCCCUCUUUCCCCUAGUUCCUCAUACAUGCGACCGAACGCCGCGUUUUUAGCUUCCGUGACUGCCAUCUUAGCUUCUCUUCUCGCCUCUCUAUAGACCAACCUGUUCGCUCUCCGCUCCUCCUCGCUUGUGCUCCAUGCCAACCUAGCGAACGCCGCCUUCUUCACCUCCACUUUUCCUUUGACUGCCUCGUUCCACCANNN
rnacentral:lncRNA from 1 species